rnacentral:rRNA from 1 species
GACGUAGGGCGCGAGCGUUGUCCGGAUUUAUUGGGCGUAAAGAGCUCGUAGGCGGCUUGUCGCGUCGUCCGUGAAAACCCACAGCUCAACUGUGGGCUUGCGGUCGAUACGGGCAGGCUAGAGUUCGGUAGGGGAGACUGGAAUUCCUGGUGUAGCGGUGAAAUGCGCAGAUAUCAGGAGGAACACCGGUGGCGAAGGCGGGUCUCUGGGCCGAUACUGACACUCAAGUGCGAAAGCGUGGGGAGCAAACAGG